UAGUCACAGGUGGGCAAUCUGGACCGAUUACUUUAUGAAGGUGUAAGAGUACAUUUAAAAUAUAAAAUCAGCUUAGAAAUACUGAUUAAGAAAAUGUAAACCAGAGAAGAGCUGCAUCAUGUAUUCCAUAAUAUUGAAUGUUGUAUUCGGCAGGACG